rnacentral:lncRNA from 1 species
AGCCGCGGCAACUCAGGGGCUGCCUGCGGGACCGUCAGAAUCUGCCGCCUUCACAGACGCGUCUUCAGCCACAGGGGGCAGUUCUCCACGCUUUUGCUGGAAAACCCCCCCAAGUACAAACUCAGCGCAAACCUCGUGAGCUCCAGAAGCUGACUCAUCUCUCAAACUUUCCUACUUACACUAAUUUUUCCUUCGUUUUCUUUUGAGCAAUACGUAUCUUUCUCUUUUUCUGAGUUUUUAUGAUUUUGUCCUGGGUUUGUUUGUGCUUAUUGUCUAAUUAGGAUUUCGCUACACCGUAGUGUUAGGGUCGUGCUAUUCUCAAACAUCUCUUUUUCAGACGAACUUUUUUUUUUGCCACUUCUGAAUCUGGGAGUUAGUAUUCUUUAAAUAUGAGGUAAUUUUUCUGAAUUUCAUUUGAUGACUACAAUACCAUAUGGAUUAUAUUUCCAAUAAUCAGAGCUAGUUAUUUAUUUUGAGUAACAGCAUUCAUUGAGUUUUGAUGAUAAACAUUUUGAUUAUUAGUAUAAAUACUAUUUUGUACAGUGGGAAUGGGACAUACCGUGUUCAAUUGCUGAUGGGCCUGUCAUCCCAGGAGACUUUAAGCAAUUACAGUGACCUCCGACAACUGCGUGUGCAUUGGCAUGCAAACGUCUCCAAGAGCCAUUGAGCCAAAACACUGCCAGAGGCUCCGUGUGACACCAGCCAAGCCCUGUUACUUGGGGGUCGUGAGUGUGACAUGCACCCACGGGAGAGGCAAGCACCCACCUGAGGACCAAGGGUGGGGCUGGGGGGCUGCCGCAGGCCCUGGCGUUUUCCUCGAUGCUUCCUCAUCCUGGGUGGUGAGUACCAGGCGGGGGCUGCGAGGGAAGCCUGGGUCAAGAACUCGAAAGGAUCAUUGAGUGUCACUGUAAGUCGCUGCUUUUCAGAGCCAGCAGUUCUAGACAUGGUGAAGUGAUGAUAAACUCUCCGCAGUAGGGAUGUCUGCUCAAGACAUGUCUUAAAUAACUGCUUUGGCUUAAUAAUUCUCCAGGGCAGCCUCAGAGCCCCCUUUGCAUGCCUUCUGCUGCGAGAGCUGUUGAAUUCAGAGAGAUGUCCCUUCGGAGAACCGCGGGUGUGAAGUCGCCCUGCCACCUGCGGAGUCAGCAACACAUUCCCUUCUGGGGGGCAUGUGCCAGAGGUCCUGGGUGGUUGAGGCUCCAGCCCCGAGUGAGAGGCGACUGCAUUUAAACAGAUCUGAAAGCAGCUGUGAUGGUGGCAGGACCUCGAGGAUAAAGAAGAAACAGGAGUUUGAUUGUGUGAGUCUGGGGGGCUGGGGGAGGGGCAAGAGGCUCCCAGAGACCAAACCCCCGGGGCAAGUGCCUCAAGCAGAUGCUCCAGAAAGGUAGGCCUAGGGUUUUUCCUUCCUUUUCUUUUGAGCAAUACAUACUCCUUCCCAGCAACGGGGCAGAUAAUGCCCUUCAGCGGCUUUCUCUGCCUGGUGGUGGCUUCAUAGGAUGCAUUAGAAAAUGACAGAUCUUCUGAUGCAGGUGAAUUAGUGGAAGUGUGUUAACUCCGGAGACACCUGGAAACAUCCAGAGUUGAUCUCAAAGAAACAGUGACGUGGGCAGUGUUGAAAUUUCUGGAAUUGAUUGAGAAAUGGAAUGUUUAUGAAGCUGUCCUGAUGCGUAAGGCGUUUCCUACCUACACGUGUGUCCGUCGCUUCAUGCACACAGAGAAUCCAGUGAAAACGACUGAAGUGCACUCUUGACCCCUGUAGGAAGACUGGUGGCUUUGGGGGCGAGUCAGGAAACACGACCCUGCAGAGGCCAUUGAUGCCUCGGCCGCUAUUCAGUCGUCGUGAAAAUGAAUCCUCGAAAAUAGAAGCUGCAGUCUAGCUACUUGUUACGGUCACAGACCUUUUGAAGCUUUCCUCAAAACUGUGCCGACAUAAUUACCUAUUUAAUACACUAUUUGUUAUUAAUUAAAAAGAAUUUAGUGG